AACGAACGCUGGCGGCAUGCCUAACACAUGCAAGUCGAACGAGACCUUCGGGUCUAGUGGCGUACGGGUGCGUAACGCGUGGGAACCUGCCCUUAGGUUCGGCAUAACUCCCCGACAGGGGUGCUAAUACCGGAUCAUGUCUUCGGCCCAAAGAUUUAUUGCCUUUGGUUGGGCCCGCGUUGGAUUAGCUAGUUGGUAGGGUAAUAGCCUACCAAGGCGACGAUCCAUAGAUGGUCUGAGAGGAUGAUCAGCCACACUGGGACUGAGACACGGCCCAGACUCCUACGGGAGGCAGCAGUGGGGAAUAUUGGACAAUGGGCGAAAGCCUGAUCCAGCAUUGCCGCGUGAGUGAUGAAAGCCUUAGGGUUGUAAAGCUCUUUUACCCGGGAUGAUAAUGACGGUACCGGGAGAAUAAGCUCCGGCUAACUCCGUG
rnacentral:rRNA from 1 species